GCGCAGUGGUCGUGAUAACCUAAGAUUUGGGCUUUUUUGCUCUGGGGUUCGAGUCGCUGUUGGGGCU